UGUGGCUAGCGGUGAAAUUCCAAUCGAACUCGGAGAUAGCUGGUUCUCCCCGAAAUAGCUUUAGGGCUAGCCUCGGAUGGGACCCCACUGGACGCGAGCGUAAGCUUGUGUCCAGUGGGUCCAGUGAGAGUCUUGGAGGUAGAGCACUGAUUGGGCUAGGGGCCCUCAUCGGGUUACCGAACUCAGUCAAACUCCGAAUGC
rnacentral:rRNA from 1 species